rnacentral:lncRNA from 1 species
UUUGUUAUAUCACAUUCUUCCCUUCAAACUAAGGAUCACAUUCAUCUCGUGUCCCACAACUGACUUCCAGAAUCUUCUGACUUGAUUUCUGCCACACACCUCUCAUUCCUAACUCAUAGGAUACCCAUUCAUCACUCAUUCAUCACUCAAAGGGUAUUUAGGUCUUUCUUGCAGAUUUCUCGUCAACCUGGCUCUGAUAC